AGAAAAUGUGUGCUCAAACAGGCUGGAUCGAGAUUUUUCCCUUUGUGACAUCACAAAGAGACCUCUCACCCAGAUGGGUGACACUACUAUGUGUUUGUUCUGCCCUCUGAGUCCCCGUUCUCACUGUAAAAAAAAAUCGAGCAUGAAGUGAGAAGCCCAAGCCUACCCAGCAAUAAGAGGGGCUGGAUUUUAGCAAGAAACUUCUAUUCACAGGCGUAUUUUGGGGAGCUCUGAGACUAUUUUAAACUCCUUAAGAAGGAGUAUAAUAUGUGGCAUCUAAUGCCAAUGUUUCAAAAGGUUUUCAUUAAGUCAUUGUUGUGACUGACUAAGUGCCCAUUAAGUAAAUUUAUACACUUAAACCUCACACUCAAACUCUGUACAGUUAAAAAUUAGUGUCCAAAACAAUAUCCAUUAAAGUGAAAUGACAUAUUGAGAAUAUUGUAAGAAUCACGUUAGUUAUACGCCUUUAUUUGUAUUGUUAGCUAAACCAUUCACACCAUAACUGUCAUACACGUUAGUAUCAUUGAUAAGCUAGCUGUAAUUAAAAAGUAAUUUAGUAAGAUACAAACUCACAUAUCUAUUCAGCAAGUAUUUCACUAGCAUAACACUUGCAAGCAAGCUGAAAUGGCCAGCUAGCUUUAACUCUGCUCUGCUGCAUGGAUAUGGCAUGAACAGCUUUAUAAAGUCUGCUCAUAUUUUUAUAACCACAAACUAGCUUAUUUCACAGCUACCUGCACCAGGAGUCAGGAUAAAAUAGCUGAACAAUUCAUUGAAGUAUGUAUGUAGUGCAUCACUAGCUAGCUAUUUUGCAGCAUGCUAACAUUAGCUUUUCAAUUCAAACAACUCCCCCAAGAAAUCAAAUCCCUGCUGAUGCUGACCCUAACUUAACUUUACUAAAAAAAACUUUUUUUUACUUUGUGUUUGGGGUUAUUAUUCAAUUAUUGUUGUUAUUUUUUUCACAUAAAGUACACCAAAUUACAAUUGUACCCUAUCUUGAAUAAAAUACAAUACAGGAUUAUUACUAGACUUUAAUCAUAAAUAUAGAUUGGCAUAAAAACCACAGAUAGUCAUUAACAGCGAUUCAAGCAACAUGAGGGGAAGCGAUGCCACACUGAAUGUCCACACUGCUGCAAAUCAACUAUAAACCACUAAUAAUUGUAAACAAUAACAAGCAGCAACAGACAUGUCCUGCUCCACCCCCUCAGCUACCUCCACAACCCCACUGAUACAAGAAAACCACUUUCCACUCUGCUGCGUUGUUUUUGACCAUGGUGACUUCAGAACAGCCACUUUGCAUUAUGUCCAUUCAUUGUUGUAAUCUCAUACUUCAGACAGUGACAACUGUUGUAAAGAAAUACAAAGGUACAUAAAUAAAUAAAUCAAAAUGUAAAUAC